UAGGGAAUUUUCGGCAAUGGGGGGAACCCUGACCGAGCAACGCCGCGUGAAUGAAGAAGGUCUUCGGAUUGUAAAAUUUUGUUGUAUGGGAAGAAAGAGCUUUAUAGGAAAUGAUAAAGAAGUGACGGUACCAUACGAGGAAGCCACGGCUAACUACGUGCCAGCAGCCGCGGUAAUACGUAGGUGGCAAGCGUUAUCCGGAAUUAUUGGGCGUAAAGGGUGAGUAGGCGGCUUAGAAAGUCCGCAGUUAAAGACGGUGGCUCAACCACCGGAUGCUGUAGAAACUGAUAGGCUAGAGUGCAGGAGAGGUUAACGGAAUUCCAUGUGUAGCGGUGAAAUGCGUAGAUAUAUGGAGGAACACCAGUGGCGAAGGCGGUUAACUGGACUGAAACUGACGCUGAGGCACGAAAGCGUGGGGAGCAAAUAGG
rnacentral:rRNA from 1 species